rnacentral:rRNA from 1 species
UCGAAUCCUGCAAACGACCGCGAACAAGUUCAUAAACUGACCGGGCGACGGCGAUAGGGGGCGACCCCGUUCGCACGACCCCGGACCCAACUAAACUCCCGGCGCGGAAAGCGCCAAGGACUACUCAAACGGAUUGCCCGUUUCCCUUGCGGAUUCCGCGAGGGAGGCGUCGGCGUCUGAAACGUAACCAAAACGACUCUCGGCAACGGAUAUCUAGGCUCUCGCAUCGAUGAAGAACGUAGCGAAAUGCGAUACUUGGUGUGAAUUGCAGAAUCCCGUGAACCAUCGAGUUUUUGAACGCAAGUUGCGCCCGAAGCCAGAUGGCUGAGGGCACGUCUGCCUGGGCGUCACGCAUCUCGUCGUCACCUGCACUCCUCGAGUUCGGGAGACGGAUGUUGGCCUCCCGUGCCCUUGCGGUGCGGCCGGCCUAAAUGCGAGUCCUCGGCUCGGGACGUCACGACAAGUGGUGGUUGAACUCCUCAACUCGUUUGCUGUCUUGACGACGCCCGUCGCCGGUGAACGGCUCGAUCGACCCAAGAGCCCCGAAAAGGGCCUUCGAAC